GUAGGGAAUAUUGGGCAAUGGAUGCAAGUCUGACCCAGCCAUCCCGCGUGCCGGAAGAAGGCCCUCAGGGUUGUAAACGGCUUUUGACGGUGAAGAACCGACAGGAUGCGUCCUGUUUUGACGGUAGCCGUUGAAUAAGCACCGGCUAACUCCGUGCCAGCAGCCGCGGUAAUACGGAGGGUGCGAGCGUUGUCCGGAUUUAUUGGGUUUAAAGGGUGCGUAGGCUGGAAGGUCAGUCAGCGGUGAAAAGCUAUCGCUUAACGAUAGUCGUGCCGCAGAUACUUCCUUUCUUGGAUGAGGAGGAGGCCACUGGAACGGAUGGUGUAGCGGUGAAAUGCAUAGAUAUCAUCCAGAACACCGAUUGCGAAGGCAGGUGGCUGUACCUUAAUCGACGCUGAUGCACGAAAGCAUGGGGAGCAAACAGGAUUAGAAACCCGGGUAGUCC
rnacentral:rRNA from 1 species